rnacentral:rRNA from 1 species
UACGGGGGGGGGUAAGCGUUGUUCGGAAUUACUGGGCGUAAAGGGCUCGUAGGCGGCCAACUAAGUCACACGUGAAAUCCCCAGGCUUAACCUGGGAACUGCGUGUGAUACUGGAUGGCUUGAAUUCGGGAGAGGGAUGCAGAAUUCCAGGUGUAGCGGUGAAAUGCGUAGAUAUCUGGAGGAAUACCGGUGGCGAAGGCGGCAUCCUGGACCGACAUUGACGCUGAGGAGCGAAAGCUAGGGGAGCAAACGGG